GCACUGUGGGAGAGUUGUUUGGAACUGGGAGCCUGAUGUCAUUGUGGGGGGCUGCUGGCACUAUGCAGGGCUGCUGUCUCUCGCGGUGUUUAUGUAACUUGGGGGGAUUAUGGCUUCUGUCGGAUUAAUUUUUUUAAUUAUUUUAUUAUUAGGGUCGUACAAAAAAAGAAAAAAAGAGAUCUGCGGUGGGGAAGCCAAUAUCGAUAUUUUAAAAAAUGUCAUCUAAGAAGACAUCAUCAAUCGACUGGCGUAACCCACCCAGAAGGCGCCGCCAUAUCCAGUGGCCCAUUUCUUCAUCAUCUUCAGAGGAGGGCUCUCCCGAAGUGGGCGGUGCUGCCGGGGCCAGCUCACCAGCAUCCAGGGGAGGUGGACCAAGCCCGGACCGGGGCUGUCAAGAACAAUCUGCACCUAGAG